CUGUACUUUAAGUUAAAUUUUUGCAUUUGGCUCCUCCCUCUUUUUCAUCAUUUGACCAAUCACAGUCUGUCGCUGGGUAAAGUUCCACAAGUAGAACUGAAUGAUUAGGCUCCUCCCGAACCUGUCAAUCAUCCUUUCGAGGAAGCAGCAGGACCGUCCCAAUUCCCUCCUCUUCCCCAUCCUCUGUUAUUCUCGGUACCGGCAGAUUCUCGAGCCAAGCCUCGGGUUCGAGUCUUCGAGGACAGCAAGUCAAGUUCGUUCAGCAUUAAACUGAAUGUGAGGUGAGCUCGUGAACUAAAUCUGCUCGAGAACGCGCUUCUGCAAAUCCAGGUGAAGUUUCAUUCUUCUUUCUACGGUUUCAUUCUUCUCUCUUCAGUUAUUGUGGCAAAGGAUCCGCUUAAGUGUUGAAUGAUGGACGUCAUGAAUGUGACGUGUGCAGAGAUUCAGACUGAAGACGGGUUUGAGUUCAGAGUUUCUUCUGACAGAUUCACUCAGUUCAGUGAGUUUGACUGUGAGCAGCUCUGGUACUCAAAGGAUGAUCGUCUGAUGGCAGAUCCAUCAAAUCCUCACAGACUGAUUGAUCCUGUUAUUUCUGCCUCAUCCGAUCGUCUCAUCACUUCAUACUGCGUUGAUGAAGUUCGUCAUGAGAUCCACUGCUAUACUUCAGGAGUAAAUGAUUUCUCCCUCAACAUCACAAUUAUCUGUUUUCAAAUGGAAAUGAUAAUGCUCUCACCUGUAGAGAGGAAGGGCAUGAGAUAAACUCAUACAUCAUUGAAAC